GCGAUCGUGGUGGAAUGGUAGACACGCUAUCUUGAGGUGGUAGUGCCGUAAGGUGUGCGAGUUCAACUCUCGCCGAUCGCACCA
rnacentral:tRNA from 1 species